rnacentral:rRNA from 1 species
GAUGAACGCUAGCGGGAGGCUUAACACAUGCAAGUCGAGCGGGAAGGGUAGCAAUACCCUGAGAGCGGCGCACGGGUGCGUAACGCGUAUGUAACCUGCCUUAUACAGGGGGAUAGCCCAUGGAAACGUGGAUUAACACCCCAUAGGACUGGAAUUUCGCAUGGGAAUUCAGUUAAAAAUUACGGUGGUAUAAGAUGGGCAUGCGUCUGAUUAGGUAGUUGGUAGGGUAACGGCCUACCAAGCCGACGAUCAGUAGGGGUUCUGAGAGGAUUACCCCCCACACUGGUACUGAGACACGGACCAGACUCCUACGGGAGGCAGCAGUGAGGAAUAUUGGUCAAUGGGCGAGAGCCUGAACCAGCCAUCCCGCGUGCAGGAUGACGGCCCUAUGGGGUUGUAAAACUGCUUUUUCUGCUCCAAGAAACCCGAUUACGAGUAAUCAGUUGACGGUAGAGUAGGAAUAAGCAUCGGCUAA